rnacentral:rRNA from 1 species
AUUGAACGCUGGCGGUAUGCUUAACACAUGCAAGUCGAACGGUAACAGGCCUUCGGGUGCUGACGAGUGGCGGACGGGUGAGUAACGCGUAGGAAUCUGCCUCAUAGUGGGGGACAACGUGGGGAAACUCACGCUAAUACCGCAUACGCCCUACGGGGGAAAGCGGGGGAUCUUCGGACCUCGCGCUAUGAGAUGAGCCUGCGUUUGAUUAGAUAGUUGGUUGGGUAAAGGCCUACCAAGGCGACGAUCUAUGGCUGGUCUGAGAGGACGAUCAGCCACACUGGGACUGAGACACGGCCCAGACUCCUACGGGAGGCAGCGGUGGGGAAUAUUGGACAAUGGGCGCAAGCCUGAUCCAGCAAUACCGCGUGUGUGAAGAAGGCCCUAGGGUUGUAAAGCACUUUCAAUAGGGAGGAAAACCUGCCGGUCAAUACCCGGCAGCUUGACAUUACCUAUAGAAGAAGCACCGGCUAACUCCGUGCCAGCAGCCGCAGUAACAC